CCAGAAGACGCUCUGGCGGAAACGCCGGGGCCUUCGUCCAACCCUUUGUGAACGUAUCUCUAUUGCCCCGGGGGAACCCGCCUGUCAUGGGCGUGGGCCCCCGGCGGCCACUUCAAACUCUGUUUUUAUUGCCGUCUGAGUAACAAACAAAUUAAAACA
rnacentral:misc_RNA from 1 species